CUUUUUUUUUGUCAGGUAUGAAAAAGAUAAUAUUCCUAAGAAGUUACAUGUCCUGGAAGGAAAGAAGUCUCGAGAAGAAUCCAUGCUUGAAAGGGUAAUAAAAAAAUUAGGAACUCUUGGCUGAAAUGAAUAAAACUGAUGAUGUGAAGUACUGAAGUGUGAUCAAGAUUAAAUUAUGACGUGAUUUCGAGGAAAACUUGAGGUACCGGGAGAUAAAGGCAAAAGUAGACAGAUCUCAUGGUACUGUGGCUGUAUAUCAGGAGGCUAUAUUGAAGAAUAAAGUGGAUCUAGAAAUACCUGAAUAUAAGGAAAUUGACAAGUGUUAUUUUGAUCAGAUAAGCGAGAUGGAUAACAAGGAUUUAUAUAACCAUUACAAUGCACUUUACAGGAUUUGAGGUUGAUCCUUUGUCAUCUUGGAUAAAGAGGCCCGGAAGUUUGGGUGAAGGUAGCGAACCUUCAUAACCCAACAUGGAAACUACAAACGGAGUGCUAGGUCUAUCUUCCGGUCGUUGUUGCACACAUAAUAGACCGAGGUGUACUGAUCGCAACACUUCAGAAGCCGAAUAUGACUUGCCUAAAGAUGUGUCAACUAAAUCAAGUGACUUGCCCUCAUGGUAAAGUCUCCAUGCCUAAACACAAAUGAAUACAAGUAAUAAACACAAAUGAGUUCAGUUUAUAAAUGAAUGGAUGUAUUCAACACACUUACAUGUCCAAGAAGGCUAUCAUCAUGGUGGUCUGCAUGAACAAAAGCGCUGUUUUUCUUCCCACUCACAAUUUCCAACACCAAAACCCCGAAGCUAAAAAUAUCUGACUUUACCGAGAAGAGUCCGUUUACUGCAUACUCUGGAGAUAAAGAAGACCCCGUGCAACCCCUUGAAUAAUGUGAAAGCGUUGUGUCCAAUCAAGUAAUGAUUUCCUUGAAUCAUCUGCUCGAUUGCCAUUAUCAAGGCCAAAAAAAUCAAUGCGGCUAAAAUUGACAAAGUAGCUUUAAUAACUUGCUGUUUCUUUCCAUUGCCUGAAUGGAGAUCUAAGAGAUAUUACAGAGUUAAAGCAAAUGAAAUCUUCUCAAGUUACAUAUAAUCCUUGAAAUGAGUGGAUUGAAACACAUCAAGUUGUCUUUGGUACAAAAAAAUCAUAUGUAGACUUGUUAAUAAUGAAGUCAAACAUCAUAACCAACUUAUAUGUUUGAGCAAUGUAUUUGCUUACCUAAGAAUUCAGAAUCUGCUAGCCUAAUGUAAAAAUCUUGUCCGUUUUCUGGGUACACUCGGACAUCAAUCAAAUCACCAAACCAUUGCAGACAUCCAAUUCCAUCUCCAGUCAUGUUAGUUGCAUAGGCGAUGCAUGAGCAAUUAUUCUUGCACGCUACCUCACAUUCCUCGAUGCUUGUGCUAUUGUUGAACAUGGCGUUCUGCGUGUCUGGCAGUUUCAUGCCUGAUAACAUCUUGAAAAACCCCUUUCCUGGCUCACAAUUUAAGGCUUUACUCCGCUGACAUCCACGGGUCCAGUUUUCACGGCUCAGUGGUUCAAACCCUUUCAAGCAUCCGCAAUUAGGAAAACUGGCGGUACUGCAGCUUCCAUAUGGGCCACACAGUGCAUAACUGUCACAAUUAUCGUUCGGAAAAAUGUCAACUUGAUACCACAAGUGGUUUUGCAUAUCCAUAUGCCAUAUCUCAAACAAGCCCCCAGGAGUUACUAUACUCCUAAAUGAGUAUGUGAUGCUAUUCAACGUACUUUCGAUAUAAAUCUCCUUCUGAUUCACAACCAUAUCAAAUUUAUGCUCAAAAAAGCUAUAAACUGGCAGGCCAGCAAACUGUAAGCCUUCAUAAGGACCAAUCCGUGCUUGAAUGACAGAGUUUUUUCUAAGAUACAAUUGCUGAUAUUUGUCCUUAACCAUUGAAAGUUUCAUUGUAUACUCACCAGGGGCAGGAUCAUCUACACUCCUCCACGACGUCAGGUACAUCUCUCUUCCUGUUACAAGGUUCUUUCCCACUUUCAUUCCUGGUAAGUAGGUAUCUCCAGGGUCAUCAAAACUUUGCCAAAUAACAUCAUUCUCAUCCCGAACUUCAAAGUUCCCAGUAUCCGUUAGUUGUGCUAUGGGACGACUAACGUUUUUGCUAGAUGAAGAAGAAGGCUUAGAUGACCAAAUGGCUAUCCCACCUACUUUAAGAAGAGACAGAAUUCCUUGGUUAUUCAAUUUGAGGACACCCAGGGUAUUUUUAAGGGGUAUUUUACGGUUUGCAACCCAGACAACAGUACGAGGAUUUGUGUUCUUAAACCAUAUUCCAAGUUUACUGGUGUUUACUGCACAAUAAGUAUCUUGAAUUAGAAAGAAAAAGGUUCAAGUUAUCUGGGAUAGCGAAUCUCGUAUGAGACCUAGGCGGGUAAAUUUGUGGUCAAUUUCUAACCAUUUUCCUAAUCACCUCGAAAUGUUAACUAGCAAGAUUCGAACUUAAAGUAAAAUCAAAUUGCCUAAGCGCUAGACCUGGAGGUGGUUAUUGACUUGCCAAAGACUGAAGACAUUUCAAUAAUACGAAGUUUACUAGAAAUGGCCCCUUAAGAAAAUGCCUAUCUGUAACGUUCGAAAAGAAAAUCGUUUCCACACCCAUUAGGCACAUUCCACUUGGUGUAACAUGGUACACAUGACUUCUUCGAUAGUGUUGAUUAGUCAUUAGUCAACGCCUUGCAGAAUGGAAAUGACUACGAUUCUACGAACAAGUUAGGAAAUGAAUAUACUGUUUCUAGAUGUUCAUUCAAGUUAUAUAAGUUUGUUUUUUAUUGGUCAUAUUACUUUUACAAUUUUUUUAUUGUAUAGUAUAAAAAUGUUGAUUCUUCAGUUCAAACAAAAUUUUACUUAUAUGGUAUAAAAUUGUUGCUUUAGGUUUUCA